GCCCAGAUGGCGAAAUUGGUAGACGCGCUAGACUCAAAAUCUGGUUCUCGCAAGGGAGUGCAGGUUCGAUUCCUGUUCUGGGCA
rnacentral:tRNA from 1 species